AGCAGCCGCGGUAAUUCCAGCUCCAAUAGCGUAUAUUAAAGUUGUUGCAGUUAAAAAGCUCGUAGUUGAAUUUCGGGGUCAAUAAGUUGGUCAUGCCAAUGGUAUGCACUGGCUUUAUUGAUUCCUACCUCUUGACGAACUGUGAUGCCAUUAAUUUGGUGUUGCAAGGAAUCAGGACUGUUACCUUGAAAAAUUAGAGUGUUUAAAGCAAGCUUACGCUUGAAUACAUUAGCAUGGAAUAAUGAAAUAGGACGUUUGAUCCUAUUUUGUUGGUUUCUAGGAUCGACGUAAUGAUUAAUAGGGAUAGUUGGGGGCAUUAGUAUUCAAUUGUCAGAGGUGAAAUUCUUGGAUUUAUUGAAGGCUAACUACUGCGAAAGCAUUUGCCAAGGAUGUUUUCAUUAAUCAAGAGCGAAAGUUAGGGGAUCGAAGACGAUCAGAUACCGUCGUAGUCUUAACCAUAAACUAUGCCGACUAGGGAUCGGAUAAUGUUAAUUUUUAAUGA
rnacentral:rRNA from 1 species